GUAAACUCCUUUAAGGAGGAAAGAGGGUGUGAGGGUUAAUAUCUUCAACAAUGGACGUUACUCGCAGAAUAAGCACCGGCUAACUCUGUGCCAGCAGCCGCGGUAAUACAGAGGGUGCGAGCGUUAAUCGGAAUUACUGGGCGUAAAGCGCGCGCAGGCGGUUUUUCAAGUCGGAUGUGAAAUCCCCGAGCUCAACUUGGGAAUUGCAUUCGAUACUGGCAAGCUAGAGUAUGGUAGAGGAUGGUAGAAUUCCAGGUGUAGCGGUGAAAUGCGUAGAGAUCUGGAGGAAUACCGAUGGCGAAGGCGGACAUCUGGCCUAAUACUGACGCUCAGGUGCGAAAGCAUGGGGAGCAAACAGGAUUAGAUACCCUGGUAGUCCACGCCGUAAACGAUGUCUACUAGGAGGUGGGGCCUUUGAGGCGUUAGUUCCGCAGCUAACGCGAUAAGUAGACCGCCUGGGGAGUACGGUCGCAAGGUUAAAACUCAAAUGAAUUGACGGGGGCCCGCACAAGCGGUGGAGCAUGUGGUUUAAUUCGAUGCAACGCGAAGAACCUUACCUGCCCUUGACAUCCAGGGAACUUUCCAGAGAUGGAUUGGUGCCUUCGGGAAUUUAGAGACAGGUGCUGCAUGGCUGUCGUCAGCUCGUGUCGUGAAAUGUUGGGUUAAGUCCCGCAACGAGCGCAACCCUUUUCCUUAGUUGCCAGCGGUUCGGCCGGGAACUCAAAGGAGACUGCCAGUGACAAACUGGAGGAAGGCGGGGACGACGUCAAGUCAUCAUGGCCCUUACGACCAGGGCUACACACGUGCUACAAUGGUCGGUACAAAGGGAAGCUACCCAGCGAGGGCAAGCGAUCCUCAAAAAACCGCAUCGUAGUCCGGAUUGGAGUCUGCAACUCGACUCCAUGAAGUCGGAAUCGCUAGUAAUUGGGGAUCAGAAAGCCGCGGGGAAUACGUUCCCGGGCCUUGGACCCCCCCCCCGUCCCCCCCAGGGAGUUGGGUGCCCCAGAAGUAGGUAGUCUACCCUAGGAGGCGCUACCCCUGUUUUCCC
rnacentral:rRNA from 1 species